AACGUGUAUAUCGUCAUUGCUGCGGUUAAAAAGCUCGUAGUUGGAUCUAAGUUCAUGACUGUAGUUCUCCAUGUGAGAUACUGCUAGUCUGGACUGUUUCGCCGGUUUUCCGUAGCUUCGGCUGCGGUGACUGGUGUUGUAACUUUGAUUAAAUCAAUGUGAUUAAAACAGGCGUUUGCUUGAAUGCUUUAUCAUGGAAUAAUAGAAUAUGACUUCGGUCCAUUCUGUUGGUCUUGGGAUUGAAGUAAUGAUUAAAAGGAACAACUCGGGGGCAUCCGUAUCGCUGCGUGAGAGGUGAAAUUCUUGGACCGCAGCGAGACGACCUAUUG
rnacentral:rRNA from 1 species